UCCUUACCAGAAACUGAAGCAAGGGUUGCUAAUAAAUGAAUUUUGGAAAAAAUGAUAUUAUUUGUCUGGCCUUUCUCACGUAUAAGAGUGGCCUCCCUUGAAGCCAGGUGCUCGUUGCCAGGCAAUAUUAUAGGUGGCGCCGCUGUGAACAUGUGCAUGUGAAAACGAAAGUAGAUUGUUUAUCUAGGAAUGAUUACAACAUUUUACCCUUCUACGUUGAAUUUUUAAGGUAAGUAGAUUAAAUGCUAUUUUGUUGUGUUAAAUAACUAGGGAAGUAUUCAUUCAAUUCUAUUUCAAUGGAAAUGGAGCAGAAUUAUUGACACACAAGUGGCACAACGGUGCAGACUGUUAAUGUUAUCUGUGACACUCACAGUAGGAAGACAAAAAAUCUACUGACACAGUGAAAGUGUUUACAUUUUGCAUUAUUUUUCUGAUUCAACCUGAUGAAUGGUGUGUACUCAUUGAAUACAUGUACUGUAUAUGAAAUUAAUGAAGCAGUAAUUUGACAAAUACAAGCAAUGAGACAUUGUUCAUUGAUUAAAAUAUGGAAUAUUUUUCUGGUGUCCUUCACAAAUGAGACAAUUAAUCCUUGAGAUAUAAAAGAAUGCUUCAAGGUCAACAGAAUAUGACUGAAAUUAUAAAGGCUUGUAAUGUAGUUUCUUAUUAUCAUUAUUAUAAUAUUGACAUGUUGUGAUGUCUUGCACUAAUCAGUGUUUGUUUUGUAUUAUAUUUCAGAUAUAAUAGUAUGAAUAUAGAGAUGAUUAUUUAGUUACCUUCAGCUGGUCAUUGGUCAAAAGGGAGAAUGUCUGUGUGUCUUGAAGCAUUGAAUGCCCCCAAAACAACCAGUAUGAUAAGAAGGUGUACAAUCUGGGUUGAAAACAGCCAUGGACAAUGAAUUUGGAGGUGCAUACUGGAGCAUCAGAAAUUACAUACUUGGAAUAAAUAAUUGCACAAUACACAUUUACUGAGAAGUGACUAAUGUUUAUGUUAAAGUGCAAUAUCCAUGUUUGUAACAUUUACAUGGGGGUAAUAGUUACAGUGUUGAAAGAGACUACCAGUGUUACAUUUCAAACUAAGUUACAGUGUGGAUGCUAAUUCUAAAUUCUUGAUAAUCAAGUGUUUUUAAUAAUUUAUGAAUACUAAUUAUUUAUCAAACUGUUUAAUUUAUCACAUUCCUACAUCAUUAUUUUAUAUAAAAUGCUUGUAGUUAUAUAAUAUAUGUCAGGUUAAAUGGUAAUAAAUUUUGUUUCUGUGUAAA